GACGAACGCUGGCGGCGUGCUUAACACAUGCAAGUCGAACGAUGAAGCCGGAGCUUGCUCCUGUGGAUUAGUGGCGAACGGGUGAGUAACACGUGAGCAAUCUGCCCUUGACUCUGGGAUAACUGCGGGAAACAGUAGCUAAUACCGGAUACGACACCUUGGGGCAUCCCAGGGUGUGGAAAGAAUUUCGGGCAAGGAUGAGCUCGCGGCCUAUCAGCUAGUUGGUGAGGUAAUGGCUCACCAAGGCGACGACGGGUAGCCGGCCUGAGAGGGUGACCGGCCACACUGGAACUGAGACACGGUCCAGACUCCUACGGGAGGCAGCAGUGGGGAAUAUUGCACAAUGGGCGAAAGCCUGAUGCAGCAACGCCGCGUGAGGGAUGAAGGCCUUCGGGUUGUAAACCUCUUUUAGCAGGGAAGAAGCGAAAGUGACGGUACCUGCAGAAAAAGCACCGGCUAACUACGUGCCAGCCGCCGCCGUAA
rnacentral:rRNA from 1 species